rnacentral:misc_RNA from 1 species
GAAACAGAGUACAUUUAUUUGUAGCGCAACACCGAUACACACAAUCCCUGCCUAUUCCAUAAAAAAUGUUGCAGACAAGGCAUACAAAAAUACACCACCAUAGGCAUUUAGAGUUUCCUUAAAUGCUGGGAGAAUGAUGUAGGUAUAGCAUCCAAAAUGCUUGCACGUUGACCAGUAGGCCUAAGGAAGACACCCCAAUUACAACAGAUAUGGCAGGAAACUAACCUGUUCUUUGCGAUGCUCAAGCA